rnacentral:rRNA from 1 species
GUGAAACUGCGAAUGGCUCAUUAUAACAGUUAUUAUUUACUAGCCGGUCAGUUAUUCCUUGGAUACCCAUGGUAAUUCUAGAGCUAAUACAUGCUUACAGACCCAACUUCACGGAAGGGUUGCGCUUAUUAGAUACCGAACCAACCCCGCAAGGGAUUUAGUUGAUUCAUAGUGUUCUGGCGAAUCGACAUUAGUCGAUGAGGCUAUCAAGUUUCUGACCUAUCAGCUUCCGACGGUAGGGUAUUGGCCUACCGUGGCUUUGACGGGUAACGGAGAAUUAGGGUUCGAUUCCGGAGAGGGAGCCUGAGAAACGGCUACCACAUCUAAGGAAGGCAGCAGGCGCGCAAAUUACCCAAUCCCGAUUCGGGGAGGUAGUGACAAUAAAUAACAAUACAGGGCCAACGGUCUUGUUAUUGGAAUGAGAACAAUUUAAAUAACUUAACGAGGAUCAAUUAGAGGGCAAGUCUGGUGCCAGCAGCCGCGGUAAUUCCAGCUCUAAUAGCGUAUAUUAAAGUUGUUGCAGUUAAAAAGCUCGUAGUCGGAUGUCGUGCUCGGGCAAGCUGUCGGCCUUUGGUCGGACGGCAGGCUCGGGUCUUUCUGCCUGAGGAACCCGGUUGCUUUAACGAGCUGCCGGUGGACGCAGGUCGUUUACUUUGAAAAAAUUAGAGUGUUCAAAGCAGGCUAGCGCUUGAAUACAUUAGCAUGGAAUAAUGGAAUAGGACUUUGGUGCUAUUUUGUUGGUUUAUGGGACCGAAGUAAUGAUUAACAGGGACAGUUGGGGCCGUUUAUAUUUCGUUGUCAGAGGUGAAAUUCUUGGAU